GAUGACCAUAGCGAGUUGGUACCACCCCUUCCCAUCCCGAACAGGACCGUGAAACGACUCCACGCCAAUGAUAGUGCGGAUACCCGUGUGAAAGUAGGUAAUCGUCA
rnacentral:rRNA from 2 species